AUGUGUAUUGGGAUAAUGGAUGCAAGGGGUCCAAUUCGAAGGUUAACCUCGUGUGACAGUAUGUUAGCAUAGCGCUUAACUGGACCGCAAACGUAGUCUUCGAUGCGAUAACACAUCAGCAUAUUGAGCUUUGAUUCAACAUACUUUCUGUCAGUUAUUUGCAUUAUCGCCUGGAUGGCAUCACCCUGAAUGAAAGAUCAAAAAAAUGAUUAUAGUUAUUUGUUGCAUCGAAACAGAUGUAGCAUGAACAUAGAUUAAUUGUAUUGUUACAAACAGGUCCAAAAAUACGUAGCAAGUGUAUGGUGGCUCUAAAUGGGGAAUCCAUUUCCUUAAGAUGCGGACCCGUAUAGUUGUACCGGGAGUUCCUAGUUUGAGAGCGGCUUUCGGUAUCCAUCAUUUUCUACAGAGUGAUUAACUGUGGUAGUAGUUUACAACCAACACUCACCCCACCAAAUUGGUAUCUUCAAUGGGGUUUACUAAUUGAUAGAAGUACUUCAAUCACGUAAAAAUGUCAAAUUGCCUUAAACCUAUGGCAGAAAAAACGUAACAAAAUUUAGUAGGAAACCUGCAUACAACGGGGAUGCGUACCUGAAACCACUUCCUUCUUCCUCUCCUGCCUAAAAUUACAACCCUAGGUUGAUCAUAUUCAUUGGAAAACCCUAAUUUCAACAGAAUCUGGGAGAAUAAGUAUACCUGGGGAUGGAUUGAGAGAUCCGGGAAGGCGGUGACGAGCUGUUGCUGUUGAGCACUGAUCUCAAAUGGUGAAUCCAUGAUGAAGGACAUAGGCCGUAAGAUCUCUGACGACGCCGCCUUGUGUAGCACACGAAGUUGCCGGAACCCUAACCGGACAACCCUUCCCAAAACCCUGCAGUCCCUCUCUUCUCUUUCCCUCUCUAACGUCUCUGUGUAGCCGACUUCGAUUGACGCCGGUGGGAGCCAGACCGGUGGUAGUAAGGGGAGGCGCGGUGUCGAUGUCGGUAGAGGCACGGUGGAUGACGUGUGUUGUGGGGGAAAGGAGUGUGGAGUAGUGUCCGGCGGCCGGAUUUGGUUGUGCCUGAGAUGGAUGGUGGAAGAGUGAUGGUGGGUUGAUGUAAGGGUUUUGAGUUGAGAAAGUGAUGGUGUACGGCUGUAUUAAUGUUAUAUUAUUAUAACAAUAAAUUUACUGUUCAUUGGCUUCGUUUAGAAAUAUAUGUAUAAUAUAAUGGCUUAGAAAAAGACGUUAACCUAUUAAGAGAGGUGGGGGCGGUGCGUGAUACACAAAAAAUAACGCGUGGAAAAAAGUUUUUUCCCACCGCCACUCCAAGUUCAACGCGUGAUACUUCAACGUAAACCCGAUUCCAUGAUUUUUUUCACGGCGUGAUAGUUGUUAAUUGUGAGGGUAGUUGUUGGUUGGGGGGAAAUUGUUGGGUGUGGUGGUGAGUGAUGACCACCGCCACUAAAAAAGGUUGCGAGUGAUGGAAAAAUGGUUGCUGACAUGGCGGAACAUGAUUGGAUAUUGUGAGUGAUAAAAUUCUAUCACUAGUGACCACCCCCACUCCCCUAAUUAACUAAUAUUAGUAAACGAUAUUCAUCUACGAUUAUUCUAUCUGUUGUUUGGUUGGUUGUUAUUUAGGUGCUGCUGAUUUUCUGUUGUUUGGACCUUAUGUUAUAUCAUGUUUUUUAAACUUUUAAUGCUUCUUUGAGGUAGUUUAUGUAAUGUAUGUUUUGCUACGUUAGAUUGUUAAAAGUUGAAUAUAGUGUGUGUGUUUUUUUGGGAAAUAACUUCUUUGUAUCUUUCUUCCAGUUAAAAUAACAAACAAAUCCAAAUUGGACUCGAAUUUGAAUAAGUUAACUAGAAUCGAAUAAGUUGAAUUUCAGGCGAACUUUUGAGUUGAAUUCGACUACAUAUUUUAAAACUUCAAAUUCUAACUCGAUUCGAAUAACUUGAAAUCCGAUCGACUUAAUGAAUAUCCCUAAUCAGUAAAUCUCUUUGAAAAAGCAUCAUCCAACUUUAGUGUCCGAGUCUGAUUUGAGCUUGGUAUUU
rnacentral:lncRNA from 1 species